UGUCCAACGUUAAUCGGGGCAGGGUGAGUCGACCCCUAAGGCGAGGCCGAAAGGCGUAGUCGAUGGGAAACGGGUUAAUAUUCCCGUACUUGGUGUUACUGCGAAGGGGGGACGGAGAAGGCUAUGUUGGCCGGGCGACGGUUGUCCCGGUUUAAGCGUGUAGGUGUGUGUUCCAGGUAAAUCCGGUUCACUUUAACACUGAGGCGUGAUGACGAGGCACUACGGUGCUGAAGCAACAAAUGCCCUGCUUCCAGGAAAAGCCUCUAAGCAUCAGGUAACAUCAAAUCGUACCCCAAACCGACACAGGUGGUCAGGUAGAGAAUACCAAGGCGCUUGAGAGAACUCGGGUGAAGGAACUAGGCAAAAUGGUGCCGUAACUUCGGGAGAAGGCACGCUGACAUGUAGGUGAAGUGAUUUACUCA
rnacentral:rRNA from 1 species